rnacentral:rRNA from 1 species
GAUGAACGCUGGCGGCGUGCCUAACACAUGCAAGUCGAGCGAUUCUCUUCGGAGAAGAGCGGCGGACGGGUGAGUAACGCGUGGGUAACCUGCCCUGUACACACGGAUAACAUACCGAAAGGUAUGCUAAUACGAGAUAAUAUGCUUUUAUCGCAUGGUAGAAGUAUCAAAGCUUUUGCGGUACAGGAUGGACCCGCGUCUGAUUAGCUAGUUGGUAAGGUAACGGCUUACCAAGGCGACGAUCAGUAGCCGACCUGAGAGGGUGAUCGGCCACAUUGGAACUGAGACACGGUCCAAACUCCUACGGGAGGCAGCAGUGGGGAAUAUUGCGCAAUGGACGGAAGUCUGACGCAGCGACGCCGCGUGAGCGACGAAGGCCUUCGGGUCGUAAAGCUCUGUUCUUGGGGACGAAGGAAAUGACGGUACCCAAGGGAGAAAGCCCCGGCUAACUACGUGC